CAAGACCUGCGCUUUUGGAGCGGCCGAUGCCUGAUUAGCUUGUUGGUAAGGUAAAAGCUUACCAAGGCUUCGAUCAGUAGCUGGUCUGAGAGGACGACCAGCCACACUGGGACUGAGACACGGCCCAGACUCCUACGGGAGGCAGCAGUGGGGAAUUUUGGACAAUGGGGGCAACCCUGAUCCAGCCAUGCCGCGUGAGUGAAGAAGGCCUUCGGGUUGUAAAGCUCUUUCAGCCGGAACGAAACGGUUACGGUUAAUACCCGUGACUACUGACGGUACCGGAAGAAGAAGCACCGGCUAACUACGUGCCAGCAGCCGCGGUAAUACGUAGGGUGCGAGCGUUAAUCGGAAUUACUGGGCGUAAGGCGUGCGCAGGUGGUUUUGUAAGUCAGAUGUGAAAGCCCCGGGCUCAACCUGGGAACU
rnacentral:rRNA from 1 species